CUGCAGCUCCUGUCAGCUCUCUUCUCUCUCCUCCAGUCCAGUCAGCUCCCCCUGCAAGUCUCACGAGACUGCCAACUUAACGAGACUUGCAGGGGAGCUGACCGGACCAGAGGAGAGAGAAGGUAGCUGACAGGAGCUGCAGGAAAG